rnacentral:rRNA from 1 species
GACGAACGCUGGCGGCGUGCUUAACACAUGCAAGUCGAACGAAAAGAGGGGAAGAGCUUGCUCUUUCCGGAAUUGAGUGGCAAACGGGUGAGUAACACGUAAACAACCUGCCUUCAGGAUGGGGACAACAGACGGAAACGACUACUAAUACCGAAUAAGUUCCAAGGGCCGCAUGGCCCAUGGAAGAAAAGGUGGCCUCUACCUGUAAGCUAUCGCCUGAAGAGGGGUUUGCGUCUGAUUAGCUGGUUGGAGGGGUAACGGCCCACCAAGGCGACGAUCAGUAGCCGGUCUGAGAGGAUGAACGGCCACACUGGAACUGAGACACGGUCCAGACUCCUACGGGAGGCAGCAGUGGGGAAUCUUCCGCAAUGGGCGAAAGCCUGACGGAGCAACGCCGCGUGAGUGAAGACGGCCUUCGGGUUGUAAAACUCUGUGAUCCGGGACGAAAAGGCAGAGUGCGAAGAACAAACUGCAUUGACGGUACCGGAAAAGCAAGCCACGGCUAACUACGUG